CCUACGGGGGGCAGCAGUAGGGAAUCUUUCACAAUGGGCGAAAGCCUGAUGGAGCAACGCCGCGUGCAGGAUGAAGGCCUUCGGGUUGUAAACUUCUUUUAUAAGCGAGAAAUAUGAUGGUAACUUAUGAAUAAGGAUCGGCUAACUACGUGCCAGCAGCCGCGGUCAUACGUAGGAUCCGAGCAUUAUCCGGAGUGACUGGGUGUAAAGAGUUGCGUAGGGGGUCUAAUAAGUAGCUAGUGAAAUCUGGUGGCUCAACCAUUCAGACUAUUAGCUAAACUGUUAAGCUCGAGACCGUUAGGGGUAACUGGAAUUUCUAGUGUAGGAGUGAAAUCCGUAGAUAUUAGAAGGAACACCAAUAGCGUAGGCAGGUUGCUGGGACGGUUCUGACACUAAGGCACGAAAGCGUAGGGAGCAAACGGGAUUAGAUACCCUAGUAGUC
rnacentral:rRNA from 1 species